rnacentral:rRNA from 1 species
GAUGAACGCUAGCGGCAGGCCUAACACAUGCAAGUCGAGGGAGAAGCCCUUUCGGGGGCAGAAACCGGCGCACGGGUGCGUAACGCGUAUGCAACCUACCUUUCACAGGGGGAUAGCCCGAAGAAAUUUGGAUUAAUACCCCAUAAUAUUAUUGGAUGGCAUCAUUUGAUAAUUAAAACUGCGGUGGUGAAAGAUGGGCAUGCGUCCUAUUAGCUAGUUGGAGUGGUAACGGCACCCCAAGGCUACGAUAGGUAGGGGUCCUGAGAGGGAGCUCCCCCACACUGGUACUGAGACAGAGACCAGACUCCUACGGGAGGCAGCAGUGAGGAAUAUUGGUCAAUGGUCGGAAGACUGAACCAGCCAUGCCGCGUGCAGGAAGAAUGCCUUAUGGGUUGUAAACUGCUUUGAUAUGAGAAGAAUAAGGCGUGCGUGUACGUUGAUGACGGUACCAUAUGAAUAAGCAUCGGCUAACUCCGUG